rnacentral:lncRNA from 1 species
UGUAUAUGUAUAUAUUUAUGUGCAAAUUCACUUCAUGUUAUGUCAAGUAAUGUGUAUAUAUGUGUUUCUAAAAGAUAAACUAUGAUGUUCAUUAAGGAAGGGCAAGUCGAAAAACUUGCAAAGUGUGUACAAGAGAUCCAAAAUGCAUAAUGCACCUCUUGUGUCUGUUUUGGUGCUACAAGUAUCAUUUUAGGGGUUGUCAAUACUGCACCUGCAUUUAUUAUAUGCAAAAUGCAUGGCCCUAAUCAUCACUCUAGCUUAAUUAUUGCGUAGAUUCAAAGUUUCAUCUUUCAGACUUUAUGUUGACUAUACAUAAACUCCAGGCUGCAUGAUCAUGUUUUUUAAUUAUCGGCCUGAGCUUGAUCACCACUUUCAGUUGGAAUCUGGAUUGACGUGCCAUCUUCACUGUAUAGUACACAAAUCUCUAUGGUGCUGGCGGCAGCAUCUGUAAAGGCUUUGGGCAUGGAGGUGGUGGACGACAAGGCUCUCUAACUAGUCGUUUGUUCAAAAAACUUGGCUUCAUGAAAAAAUGUGAUCAUUA